UAUGAGUCUCUGAAUUAUGUAAGGAUAAUA
rnacentral:piRNA from 1 species